rnacentral:lncRNA from 1 species
GGGUUGUCCCGGAGCGAUGCCAACGUUAGUUCGGGCAUUAUUGCCCGGAGCAGAAAUCGGUCUCCAGGAGAAGGUGUAGCCCAGAUGAAAGGUGUGUGCCACCAAGCCUUCAACUAAGAGAUCCCCCAGUCUUAAUUUUCUGGAAUUUAUAGCCACUAUGCCUCAAGAUCUCCAUGCCAAGAUCCAGGUCAGAAAUUGUAUAUCUCAGCCUCCAGAUUAGGAUCACAGUCUUCUGCAGAUGCUGGUGCCAACGCCCCGGAUACUGGAGGUGCGUCUGUACGGAGACCAAGAAAGGAGGAAGCAGAUGUCAGCAAUGAAGGACUAGCAGGUUUUCUCACUGGGGUCAGAAUGCUGCCAUGAGAAGGCGCUGACACUGGGCAUCGCCAACAAAUUGAGUACAUACAGGACAGAAGCUCAGCUCCAGCAGGAAUUACAAUUAUGCACAGGCCUAUUAACAACUUGCUGGCCUGGACCUAAAGCAGGGGCCCUAAAAUGAAUGGCACAGCUCCUGUGCUGACAUUGACACUAUGUCUCACUCUGAGCCCUUCCCCCUACACACACCUCUUUCCUCUUUCUUAUGAUUCAUUUACUGCUUUACCAUCCAUCCAGGGCACUUGUGUUCUCCCUCCCCACCCCCCAUCAAGAUUCAAGGACAGAAACAGGAGUUAGCAUUGUAAGGUCUGUUCCUGGGGUUCUUUUGAGUCUAGUUUAGUAGUAUUUUAGGAGACUUCAUUAAGAACACAUACAUACUACUCAAAGGGCAGACAGAGAAGGGCAGUUCAGUGAAGAGUAACAUCUGCAUUUCCGGUGAGAGUUGUUUUUGGGACUCGUAACAAUUGGAUAGGACAUGCAGGAUAUUUUUUUUACAGUUGGAAACUUUCCUUGCCUCACCUGGACUCAGAAAAGGGGGUUUAAAAUUCUAAAACCACGGGCUGGAGAGGCUCAGAGGUUAAGAGCACCGACUGCUCUUCCAGAGGUCCUGAGUUCAAUUCCUAGCAACCACGUGGUGGCUCACAACCAUCUAUGAGAUCUGGUGCCCUCUUCUGGCCAGCAGACAUACAUGCAGGCAGAACGCUGUAUACUAAUAAAUCUUUAAAAC